UCGCCAGUAGCUCAGUCAGGAGAGCAGAGGACUGUAGUAGGCGCAGCUAUCCUUAGGUCGCUGGUCCGAAUUCGGCCCGACGGA